rnacentral:lncRNA from 1 species
AAAAAAAUUAAAUAAAAUCUCGAUAACCCCUAAAAUCCCUUAGUUUUCUCCCCUAAUUCCCACUACAUAUCCACUACUCAAAAUCCCCCUAUUAUAGAACUCUAUCCCGAAAUCUGAGCAAAAAAUAAUACCCUUGCCUGCAUAGGGAUUCAAACACAAGACCUCCAUCAUAAUGACACACCAUUUGACCACCAGACCAGCAACCCAUUCUUAUGUAAUUUAC